rnacentral:lncRNA from 1 species
UGACUUUGAAUGAGACUUCCCUUUGGACUUCUGAACUUUAGCCUUUGGGCGUUUGCGUUCAGUUGAGGAUCUUUUCCCAAAGCCUAGACCAGAUGUGUUUCCAGACUUCUGUCCUGUCUUCAGGAUUUCUUCCAAGGUGUCAGAUCCCUUAUUCAACAUUUUGAUGGAUUUGGUCAUUUGGUCUAGCUUAGAGAUUAGCAACGAAAUCUCACUCUUCAGACCCUCUAUGACUUUCAGCUGCUCUAGUUUCUCAGCUUCUAGUUCUUUGAUGAGUUUCUU